GACGAACGCUGGCGGCGUGCCUAAUACAUGCAAGUAGAACGCUGAAGGAGGAGCUUGCUUCUCUGGAUGAGUUGCGAACGGGUGAGUAACGCGUAGGUAACCUGCCUGGUAGCGGGGGAUAACUAUUGGAAACGAUAGCUAAUACCGCAUAAUAGUAGAUGUUGCAUGACAUUUGCUUAAAAGGUGCAAUUGCAUCACUACCAGAUGGACCUGCGUUGUAUUAGCUAGUUGGUGGGGUAACGGCUCACCAAGGCGACGAUACAUAGCCGACCUGCGAGGGGUAACGGCCACACUGGGACUGAGACACGGCCCAGACUCCUACGGGAGGCAGCAGUAGGGAAUCUUCGGCAAUGGACGGAAGUCUGACCGAGCAACGCCGCGUGAGUGAAGAAGGGUGUCGGAUCGUAAAGCUCUGUUGUAAGAGAAGAACGAGUGUGAGAGUGGAAAGUUCACACUGUGACGGUAUCUGACCAGAAAGGGACGGCUAACUACGUG
rnacentral:rRNA from 1 species